GCAAGUCGAACGAGAGUUUUUAACUCUAGUGGCGAACGGGUGCGUAAUACGUGAGAAUCUGCCCUUAGGAGAAGAAUAACUACUGGAAACGGUAGCUAAGUCUUCAUAUGCCGAGAGGUGAAAUAGUUUUAACUGCCUAAGGAUGAGCUCACGCCUGAUUAGCUUGUUGGUGAGGUAACGGCUUACCAAGGCCACGAUCUAUAGCUGGUUUUAGAGGACGAUC
rnacentral:rRNA from 1 species